rnacentral:snoRNA from 1 species
AUUUUGUGGUGUGGACAUUCCAGGAUGUAUUCCUAGAAACGUUCCCAUGCCUUUGCAAUGGUUUCUUCUUUCUGCUGCUGAAAGGUGUAGAUUUUUCCGCUUAGGAC